rnacentral:rRNA from 1 species
UGGGGAGUAUUGGACAAUGGGGGCAACCCUGAUCCAGCAAUGCCGCGUGGGUGAUGAAGGCCUUCGGGUUGUAAAGCCCUUUCGGCGGGGACGAUGAUGACGGUACCCGCAGAAGAAGCCCCGGCUAACUUCGUGCCAGCAGCCGCGGUAAUACGAAGGGGGCUAGCGUUGUUCGGAAUGACUGGGCGUAAAGGGCGCGUAGGCGGCGAUGUAAGUCAGGCGUGAAAGCCCCGGGCUUAACCUGGGAACGGCGCUUGAUACUGCGUUGCUUGAGGACGGGAGAGGAUGGUGGAAUUCCCAGUGUAGAGGUGAAAUUCGUAGAUAUUGGGAAGAACACCGGUGGCGAAGGCGGCCAUCUGGACCGUUUCUGACGCUGAGGCGCGAAAGCGUGGGGAGCGAACAGGAUUAGAUACCCUGGUAGUCCACGCUGUAAACGAUGUGUGCUAGACGUUGGGGGUUAAGCCUCCGGUGUCGCAGCCAACGCGUUAAGCACACCGCCUGGGGAGUACGGCCGCAAGGUUAA